AGUCGGUCCGCGGUCGUCCGUCAGUUCGCCGCCUCGCCGUCGAUACUCGGUCAUAAUAUCGUCGUCCUGGAUACUAUACUGUAUUUAAAUGCUAUAUUUUCACUCUUCUCGUUUUCCUCCCAUUGCCGGUCACAAUAUCCUAGUUUGGUUUCGUAUCAUAAUUACUUUAGGUAAUAUAUAAGUAUACAACACAAGUACAGUUAUAAUAAUAAUAAUAAUAUUAUCAUUGCUGGGGACGUGCGCGCGCACGCCGCCAACCACCCGAUCGUUGGACGCAGAGACCCUCRCCGAGGGUGGCGCAGAAGCAAGUACGAGCGGGAGUGAAGAGCGCACGAGUGUUAUAACCACCGUCAUCCGUGUGAUCGCGUCGGGAGCUGCGCUGUAGCCGCAAGUCCCGUGCUGCCAACGGCGGCCAAACUCUCCGGUGAAGAUGGUCACUGUACGCGCACCGUCAUUUUURGUUCGGCGGAUAUGCGUAUUCAUCUUCUUAGGAAUAAUGGGCUAUACAAUUUUUCAGAUGACCCGCAGCAAUUCCUAUUACGAUAUGUCAGAUCGAAACAUUAUGCG